UGUGUGUGUGUGUGUGUGUGUGUGUGUGUGUGUGUGUGUGUGUGUGUGUGUGUGUGUGUGUGUGUGUGUGUGUGUGUGUGUGUGUGUGUGUGUGUGUGUGUGUGUGUGUGUGUGGGCGGCCAAGGUGAGCAGGUACGGGUGCCGUGGGCGUGCGUGGGCGUAGGCUCGUUUUGGUACACUCAUUCACAACCCUCUCUCUCUCUCUCUCUCUCUCUCUCUCUCUCUCUCUCUCUCUCUCUCUCUCUCUCUCUCUCUCUC